UAGGGAAUCUUCGGCAAUGGACGAAAGUCUGACCGAGCAACGCCGCGUGAGUGAAGAAGGUUUUCGGAUCGUAAAACUCUGUUGUUAGAGAAGAACAAGGACGUUAGUAACUGAACGUCCCCUGACGGUAUCUAACCAGAAAGCCACGGCUAACUACGUGCCAGCAGCCGCGGUAAUACGUAGGUGGCAAGCGUUUUCCGGAUUUAUUGGGCGUAAAGCGAGCGCAGGCGGUUUCUUAAGUCUGAGGUGAAAGCCCCCGGCUCAACCGGGGAGGGUAAUUGGAAACUGGGAGUACUGAGUGCAGAAGAGGAGAGUGGAACUCCAUGUGUAGCGGUUAAAUGCGUAGAUAUAUGGAGGAACACCAGUGGCGAAGGCGGCUAUCUGGUCUGUAACUGACGCUGAGGCUCGAAAGCGUGGGGAGCAAACAGG
rnacentral:rRNA from 1 species